rnacentral:rRNA from 1 species
GACGAGGGGUCCAAGCGUUGUUCGGAAUUAUUGGGCGUAAAGCGGGUGUAGGCGGCUCUAUAAGUCAGGAGUGAAAGCCCCGAGCUUAACUCGGGAAGUGCUUUUGAUACUGCAGAGCUUGAAUGUGGGAGAGGGUAGUGGAAUUCCAGGUGUAGUGGUGAAAUACGUAGAUAUCUGGAGGAACACCGGUGGCGAAGGCGGCUACC